AUGCUAUUUUGCAAACCGUCAAUAGACACAAGAAGAAGAAUUAGUGCAUCACGCACAUAUGCAUUGAUCGAAUUUCACGUUCUCUAUUUAAUUCAGUUAAUAACUUAGAUCACUUCGAGUCUUAUUUAAUUCAUAUUAUAACCAAAAUCACUUCGAGUCUCGACAUGAUUCCUCAGUUAUCAAAAAGUUCAGUGAGCAUGAGGGACCCUGAGAGGGUGGAACAGAUAUUGACAUCCAUGAGAGAGGCUGGAUCCAGCACACUACAGGUGAUCUCAGAUUUUGAUAUGACUCUUACCAGGUUCGCCUACAAUGGCCAACGCUGUCCUACCUGCCAUAAUAUAUUGGAAAAUAGUAAACUGAUCAGUGAAGACUGCAAAGCCAAGCUGCAGAAGCUUCUGGACACAUACUACCCUAUAGAGAUCGAUUCUACACGCUCAGUGGAAGAGAAGUUACCGCUCAUGGUAGAAUGGUGGACUAAAGCUCAUGAUCUCCUUGUGCAGCAGAAGAUCAGUAAGGAUCACUUGGCUCGAGUUGUGAAAGAGUCUGAAGCCAUGCUGAGGGAUGGAUACCAGCAGUUCUUUGGUCAUCUCCAUCAGAUGUCUGUUCCUCUGCUGAUCUUCUCUGCUGGGAUUGGGGAUGUGUUAGAGGAAGUGAUCAGACAAGCUGGUGUUUUCCAUCCUAAUGUCAAAGUCUUUUCCAACUACAUGGACUUUGACGAUUCUGAUCUGUUUUGUGGAAUGAGAUAUGCAUUGGAAAUAUCAAUGCAGAGUUCAAUCACAUCACAAUCAGAAGCCUCAAUCAAGCAUUCUUCUCAGUGCUUAAUCAACUUGCAGCUUGAUUUCUGGAAAUUUGUGCAACAAAGAAAGUGGCAGUUGAAGAGACAGUUUCUUGCGCAAAUUAAAUCUAUGCACUGUCAUCACUGCUAAGUGCACAGUUCUUCAUGGCCUUCCUCUUAUUCUUGGAGAAGAAACCUCUGAUUUUUUUUAAACAGUGCUGACAGGACUGUGAUUGUGACACACCCUUCUUGGGGAUUCUGACCGUGAUAACAGAAAACAGCCAGGAUUCUUCCUCCACAAGAACUACAUUUGGAGUCUUCAUGCACAGCAUUAUUCUAGACUGAGCCAUUGUCAUGGAUGAACUUGAAAACCUUCCAGGUGCCAUGUGACUAAUUUUUGGGCUGAUAUGUGCCAAAUUUGGAGUUUUUCUUUCCCUUGGACACAAUUCUCUGAAACCAAAACUACAUUCACUUAAAACCCUUCUGUCGAUGUAAGCAAAGGCUGUUUGAGAUCGUUAAAGGCUUAGUUCACCCAAAAAUGUAAAUUCUGUCAUCAGUUUUUUACUGUCAUGUUGUUUGACUUUGGUUAGUCUUUCAAACACAAAUUUAGAUAUUUUUAAAGAAAACAGGAACCCGUACUCAGCUCAUAUUCACCGACAUCAGUGAGCUAAUUUUGAGGGAAUGAGCCGGUAUGGGUAUGUGUCGAUGCCCCCUAUUGACGAGAUGUUUGCUAACUAUCUUGUCACAGGGCGGGCACAGACAUUGAAAGCUCCGGUCCUGCCUUCUAAGCUCCUUAAGAUGACAUCUUGCUUGAAUGGCAGGGCAUAUACGGCAGCGGGUCAGACUGGUGCUGCCUUACACACGAUGGCAGUGUUACAGGCUUACCAGGCUGGGACUCUAGGAAGAAGAAGAUUUGAGGGAGGUAAUCAAUUACAGAUGCCAGCAGCGUCGGUGAUUGAUUUCCUCUCCAUGAGGGUAGUUACAUCUACCCUCUCCUUUCUUCUUCCACCUCCUGAGUAAAGACAUUUUUUACCCAGGCGCUUCUUACAGAUCAGGCUGAGGGCUGGGCACAUGAUAAAUAUUUUCUGAUUGGCUCGCCUUUUGGCUUGAUAGUGAAGGGGCUCUUUCAGGCUUGAAAGAACCAUAGAUUCCAUCUUUCUAUGAUGGUGAGUCUCCGUUCUUCGAGCCGCAGGGAGUAAGCUUGGUCUAUAUUUAUAUAUUUAAAUAUAUUGACCUUAGUUUUCCUGUAUAGUUUUUUCCUGGGUGUGUAAAAAGAAAUAGAAGGGGAAAAUUAGGGCCCUGAAGUUCUCAUUAGGUUGAUUAUCUUAGUGUUGGCUAUAUGGCCACCUUUACAGCUACCAUAUGGUAGAGUAGCUUUUCUCCUCUGGUCAUAGCUACAGUUUGUAUUAGAGAUUGGCACUCUUUACUUCAGAUAGAUCUAUGUUAAGCGUUGGCCUUCGGGGCCGCCUGACAUUGUUUGGCUUGGGUUGAGCAUUGCUCCUCUGAGCUCUUGCUUAUAGAGUUUAUUUCAGAGUUGCCUCCUCUCUAUUGAGAGUUUUAGAGGAUGAGUUUAAGCCCCAGGCAGAUCUAUGCUUAUGUGUGGCCCUAUAGGCACACAGUUAUUGCUGGCCUAGGCUAGAACUAGGGUUUAGGUGAUAUAUUGAAGCAUUUCACUUUUUUUUUACCCCUUUUUACUACCCCUGUCAGGAGAGUGUAGUUUUCCUAGUUCUGGCCUCCUCUUAUCAGAGUUGUUAGGCCAAGGCCCAUUACCCCUUUGGUGUAGGUGCAAGAUAGAUAGCAGCUAAGGUAGCAGACUAUUGCUAAGUCUCCCUGGUGCCAUUGUCUCAGGUGGUAGGCUCCUUAUCACUGUGUGAAUAAGAAAAUGCUAGUGUUGCUGUGGCCCCACUUUUCUAGAGCUUUUCAUUCUAUACUUUGUUUAGUCUUUUCCCCUGAACCCCUUAUAUUAAGAUUCAAGCUUGAGUGAAACAGUGUUAGCUUUCUUUAAGCUCCUGUUCCCUAGGGUUCAGUACAGAUGUCUCUAUCUUUGGUGAAAAGCCCCCACCAUUGAGAUUCACAAUUUCAGGGUAGUAUGAAUGAGAAGUGAAGCAUUCCCCUGUUUCUCAGGGUUGUUAAUGCUCUAGUUCUAUUUUGCCCUACACAAUGUGAGCCCAGUAACUCCAUUGCUGCCACAGGUUAGCACCUGUUUUCUGUAGUAGUAGGCUUUGUUCUGGCCUCCUACAGAGCAUGGUGACUAAGUUUGUACUCCCCUUGCUAAUAAGGGUAAGAAGUGUUUUUUACUGAGUAUAUGGCCUGUUGGAAUGCAUAACUCAGGUUGAGUUUGUUUAGUGAACCUAACUAUUCAGUUUGGUUCUUAUGUAGCUCCCUUUAGAGUUUGAACACCACCACAAGAUGUUGAUUGUGUUGUUUGGAGUAGAAGGCUUUGUUUUGGGCCUCCUUCAGAGCACAACAGCUUGUUGUAUCACAAGUUUUGUUGGUAGAUGUUUAGCCAGAGUUUUGCUCACUUAGCACUGCCACAGGUUUAUGCCCUUGAUCAUUUGAAGUAGUAGGCCGGUUUUGGCCUCCUUCAGAAGCAUGGCAGCAUAUAUUCUUUGUGCUCCCCUUUCUGUAAGGGUAAAAAGUGUUUUUACUGAGUACAUUGCCUGUUGGAAUGUGUAGAUUUUAAGCUCAGGUUGAGAUAAGCUAGGUAACCUCAUUUGAUAGUUUGGUUCUCAGUUUAGGCUCCCUUAGAGCUUAGACACUGCCACUGGCUGACACCUGUGUCUUUCUGGAGUGGUAGGCCCUGUUUGGGCCUCUUUCAGAGCAUGUUGGCAUAGUUUGUACUCCUCUUGCUUAAAGAGUAAAAAGUGUUUUACUGAGUACAUUGCCUGAUGGAAUUAAGCUCAGGUUGAGCUAGAUAAUUAACCUCACUGGAUAGUUUGGUUCUCAUAUAUGGCUCCCUUAGAGCUUAGACACUGCCACUAGCUGACACCACCUGUCUUUCUGGAGUCGCAGACCCUGUUUGGGCCUCCUUCAAGAACAUGAUGGCGUAGGUUUGUACUCCUCUUGCUUAAAGAGUAAAAAGUGUUUUUACUGAGUACAUUGCCUGGUGGAAUGUGUGGAUUAAAUUAGCUCAGGUCGAGUUAAAUUAGUUAACCUCACUGGAUAGUUUGGUUCUCAGAUUUGGCUUCCUUAGAGCUUAGACACUGCCACUGGCUGACGCCUGUGUCUUUCUGGAAUAGUAGGCCCUGUUCGGGCCUCUUUCAGAGCAGAGUGGCGUAGUUUUGUACUCCUCUUGCUUUGAGAGUAAAAAGUGUUUUUACUGAGUACAUUGCCUGUUAGAAUCUGUUGAAUUAGAAUUAAGCUCAGGUUGAGUUAUAUAUUUAACCUCACUGAAGAGUUUGGUUAUCAUAUUGGCUCCCUUAGAGCUUAGACACUGCCACGAGCUGACGCCACGUGUCUUUCUGGAGUUGUAGGCCCUCUUUUGGGCCUCCUUCAGAGCAUGAUGGCAUAAGUUUGGCUCCUCUUGCUUGAAGAGUAAAAAGUGUUUUUACUGAGUACACUGCUUGUCGGAAUGUGUUGAGGUAGACUGUGAUGUGGGCACUCUACAGCCUUAUCUGCUAGUUUAACUCGGUUUCAAUCUGAACGAGUUCCCAUGUUGGUGGGAUCUUGCUUUAUCAGCAAGAGAGCUGCUUUAGGUGUGUGGCCUUCACAGGCCGCCCUUUAAGCUUUGAGCGGCCUUGGUAGGCCUUCUGUGGAAGGCCUCUUUGAGGCUUAUAGCUUGAGCGGUUGGCCAUAGGGAAUGCUAUCACUGACAGCCUAUGUAUGACCCAUAGGGGGAGUGGUUCUGGCAUUUCAGUUGAAAUUGCUAGUUCUGACGUUUGUCUAGCCAUCUUUGUUAUGCACUCCCCUCAAACAUGGCGGCGUGGGUAUAUCGUUCCCCAUUUGCAUAUCAAAUGCAGUGUAGUUUCCUUUUUAAAGGGAACGUCUCAGGUUACGUAUGUAACCAUGGUUCCCUGAGAACAGGGAACGAGACACUGCGUUACCUGCCAUGCAUUGGGGCUGCCUGCUGAACAGUCCCUUCAGACGUUAAGGUACUGACUGCUUCUCUAGGUGCUCCUUUUAUACUUCCGGGUCGCGUCUAUGAUGACGUCAUAGGCUGUCGCCGGCCAAUAGGAUUGGUGAGAGUUGAUAUUGCUUUCAGACACCGGUUCACGUGAUGACGUUCCCCAUAUGUGUUUCAAACGCAGUGUCUCGUUCACUGUUCUCAGGGAACCAUGGUUACAUAUGUAACCUGAGACGUUUUGUGUUUCUUCAGUUUGAAGUUGAGAAUAUUUAAUUAAACUUCUUAUUAAAUUUUGUUCUAAAACUGUUCUACUGUUAACUUGUACAGUAUUUUAAAUGUUAAAUGUAUUUCAUUUAAAAUUUGUACUGUAUUCACAACUGAAUUAUUAAAUUUUGUUUUAUAUAG